AUUGAACGCUGGCGGCAUGCCUUACACAUGCAAGUCGAACGGUAGCACGGGUGCUUGCACCUGGUGGCGCGUGGCGAACGGGUGAGUAAUAUAUCGGAACGUGCCCUAGAGUGGGGGAUAACGUAGCGAAAGUUACGCUAAUACCGCAUACGAUCUACGGAUGAAAGUGGGGGAUCGCAAGACCUCAUGCUCCUGGAGCGGCCGAUAUCUGAUUAGCUAGUUGGUGGGGUAAAAGCCUACCAAGGCGACGAUCAGUAGCUGGUCUGAGAGGACGACCAGCCACACUGGGACUGAGACACGGCCCAGACUCCUACGGGAGGCAGCAGUGGGGAAUUUUGGACAAUGGGGGAAACCCUGAUCCAGCAAUGCCGCGUGUGUGAAGAAGGCCUUCGGGUUGUAAAGCACUUUUGUCAGGAACGAAACGGUGGGGGCUAAUACCCAUCAGCCUUGACGUUACCUACAAAAGAAGCACCGGCUAACUCUGUGCCAGCAGCCGCAGUAAAAC
rnacentral:rRNA from 1 species